AGUGAACGCUGGCGGUAGGCCUAACACAUGCAAGUCGAACGGCAGCACAGUAAGAGCUUGCUCUUACGGGUGGCGAGUGGCGGACGGGUGAGGAAUACAUCGGAAUCUACUUUUUCGUGGGGGAUAACGUAGGGAAACUUACGCUAAUACCGCAUACGACCUACGGGUGAAAGCAGGGGAUCUUCGGACCUUGCGCGAUUGAAUGAACCGAUGUCGGAUUAGCUAGUUGGCGGGGUAAAGGCCCACCAAGGCGACGAUCCGUAGCUGGUCUGAGAGGAUGAUCAGCCACACUGGAACUGAGACACGGUCCAGACUCCUACGGGAGGCAGCAGUGGGGAAUAUUGGACAAUGGGCGCAAGCCUGAUCCAGCCAUACCGCGUGGGUGAAGAAGGCCUUCGGGUUGUAAAGCCCUUUUGUUGGGAAGGAAAAGCAGCAGGUUAAUACCUCGCUGUUCUGACGGUACCCAAAGAAUAAGCACCGGCUAACUUCGUG
rnacentral:rRNA from 1 species